GCAGAAUUGGAGGGGCAGCAGGAAGAGGGCGAAGGUCCCGACGACUUCCUGGCACCUUUGGAACCUGACUUUGGGCCCCCGCC